rnacentral:rRNA from 1 species
GACGAACGCUGGCGGCGCGCCUAACACAUGCAAGUCGAACGGAGCUGAGAGAAGCUUGCUUUUCUUAGCUUAGUGGCGCACGGGUGAGUAACGCGUGAGUAACCUGCCCUGGAGUGGGGGACAACAGUUGGAAACGACUGCUAAUACCGCAUAAGCUCACGAUCCGGCAUCGGAUUGAGGGAAAAGGAUUUAUUCGCUUCAGGAUGGACUCUCGUCCAAUUGGCUAGUUGGUGAGGUAACGGCCCACCAAGGCGACGAUUGGUAGCCGGACUGGGAGGUUGAACGGCCACAUUGGGACUGAGACACGGCCCAGACUCCUACGGGAGGCAGCAGUAGGGGAUAUUGCACAAUGGGGGAAACCCUGAUGCAGCGGCGCCGCGUGGAGGAAGAAGGUUUUCGGAUUGUAAACUCCUGUCGUGAGGGACGUUAAUGACGGUAACUAACAAGAAAGCACCGGCUAACUACGUG